rnacentral:ncRNA from 2 species
UAUGCCAAGGGGCGUUGCAUUGGAAAAAUCUUUUUCAAUCAGGCUUGGCAAAUCAAAACGGCGCUCAUCUUUU